rnacentral:rRNA from 1 species
CCUACGGGAGGCAGCAGUGGGGGAUAUUGGACAAUGGGGGAAACCCUGAUCCAGCGACGCCGCGUGAGUGAAGAAGUAUUUCGGUAUGUAAAGCUCUGUCAGCAGGGAAGAAAGAAAUGACGGUACCUGCCCAAGAAGCCCCGGCUAACUACGUGCCAGCAGCCGCGGUAAUCCGUCGGGGGCAAGCGUUAUCCGGAAUUACUGGGUGUAAAGGGGGCGUAGACGGGGAUGCAGGUCUGGAGUUAAAGGCGGGGGCCCAACACCCGGACUGCUAUGGAAACUGUGUAACUUGAGUGCAGGAGAGGUAAGCGGAAUGCCUAGUGUAGCGGUGAAAUGCGUAGAUAUUAGGAGGAACACCAGUGGCGAAGGCGGCUUACUGGACUGUAACUGACGUUGAGGCUCGAAAGCGUGGGGAGCAAACAGGAUUAGAUACCCGGGUAGUC